UACGGGGGGGGUAAGCGUUGUUCGGAAUUACUGGGCGUAAAGGGCUCGUAGGCGGCCAACUAAGUCAUACGUGAAAUCCCUCAGCUUAACUGGGGAACUGCGUGUGAUACUGGAUGGCUUGGAUUUGGGAGAGGGAUGCGGAAUUCCAGGUGUAGCGGUGAAAUGCGUAGAUAUCUGGAGGAACACCGGUGGCGAAGGCGGGUCUCUGGGCCGAUAUUGACGCUGAGGAGCGAAAGCGUGGGGAGCGAACAGG
rnacentral:rRNA from 1 species